GCAAUGUUUGCCUUGGGAGAUAGUGCAAAGCUUUUCUGGUAGCCCUUUGUUGUGGAUCCAGAAGGCUGAUAGUUUGAAAUACAUAUGGCUUCCUACUGAAUACUGGGACAAAGAAAAGAACAACCACCCAAAAUAUAUCUGGAAAAGUCAUCCAAGAAUGGGAAAUUAAAUGAGUUAGCUUGCUACCAAAUAGUCUACAACUCCAUAGAAGUGGUGUGGCACGUGGAAAAGAAUUGUAUGGGGACUCUUGCCAAUUCAUCCGCAAAGAAUGAGAUAGAUGUGUGAUUGAAAAGUAUUUGUCUAACCAGCUGCAGCUGUGUGUAGCUGAUACAUAAACCCUCAUUUAGAAGA